GUGAUUUUAGUAUUCAAGUAUAUCAAUGGAUCUAAACUCUAGCUUCUCUAUCGCAGUUAAGUCCAAAAAAAGCUCAGUGUUCUACAACUUGAGAUCAACAAGAGGACACAUUCUUGCUAAUUUGGGCAAGUAUGAAAAGAUUCAUAAACCACCAUCUGGACCGAAUCCAAAUGGAAAUCAUCGUCCACCAUCAAGGACCAAACACAACUGGAAAUCAUCGUCCGCCAUCAGGCCAUGAACAGAAGAAUGAGCUAGCCGUAUGAGACCACAAUUUUAGAAUUGGAGGUUAGACAAAUAUGUAGUAGUUAAACGAUUUCAUCUUUAGGCUAUUGUAUUUGUAAAAACAGUAGGAUAUCCUUUCAGAUUGGAAUUACAUUUCCCUUCAGUUACUAAGCAGUCCAGAAGAA